UACGGAGAGUGCAAACGUUGUUCGGAUUCACUGGGUGUAAAGGGCACGUAGGCGGCUCGGCAAAUCGGUCGUGGAAUCCCGACGCUUACCGUCGGAACGGCGGCCGAAAAUACCGGGCUCGAGGGCGUGAGGGGUCACUGGAACUCCUGGUGAAGCGGUGAAAUGCGUAGAUAUCAGGAGGAACGCCGGAGGCGAAAGCGAGUGACUGGCGCGUUCCUGACGCUGAGGUGCGAAAGCUAGGGGAGCAAACAGG
rnacentral:rRNA from 1 species